rnacentral:lncRNA from 1 species
AUCCAUUUAGCAUGCUAUUUAACCUAGCUCUGCAGUGUUGGCCUCCUGCAGCCUAUGGCUACUGCGUUACUAGGUUAUUUUUUACACAUGACAUGUUAGACUAUUAAUUUAUGGCACACAUUGGCUACAUGCAUAUCCAGUGGAAGCAAAGUGAGUCUGAACGAAGGAACGAGGUUAGCCUUUUUGUGAGUUUGGCUGAGGACGAAGCCGCACGAACACAUGGCAUCUAUGCGCGCCCUCGUCGCUGCUGAAUCGACCCACCACUGUCCCUCGUCCUACUGGUCGGUUAUGAUUCAUCUCCGAGCGAAUGCAGCCUUGUCCCGUGCUCGCAUUCCCCGCUGUGACAGUGAGCCACUAGCAUGCCGGUGCCCCGGACGCCAUCUUCCAGCCUGAUACAGAACCGCACAAGUUCAGGAUGUAUUUCAACCCGCGAUCGAAGAAGAUCCACAGCGAGGGCGGUUCUAGUGAGAGACUCCAGGGAAAGCUGAUAUUGACAGAAAAGUACUUUUACUCUGGGUUAAUAAGGACAGUCAGGACCCAGGAGUCAAGACAGGACAAUACAUCCGGGAACAAACACUCAUACUAUCCCUAUAGACCUAUUAACGGACCCCCCCAGUGACAUUUAAGGGAGAUGUUGACAGUUCUUCACUGAUUAUAUAUUGUAUGUACAAGUGAGUAACCUGUAAGGUGUGAGAUGGGAAUGUGGUUUUUGCAUAUCCCACUCUCCCUGAGACACACUCAGAGAGUGGGGUCAGGGGUCAGACAAUAUUGACAGCUACCCAGGAGCAAUUAGGGUUAAUUGCCUUGCUCGGGAUUUGAUCCAGCAACCUUUUGGUUACUUUCCCAAUGCUCCUAACCGCCAGGAUACCUGCCACCGCAUUACUAUUCUGUGUGUGUAUAGUCCCCAGAGAAGUUUGGUUUGUUUACCAUGUAUAAAGAUAUAAUGAUAUAAAUCAGGCUAUUGUCUGUGUGUCUGAGGCGGGUCUUUCUGGGGACAUACACUACAUGACCAAAAGUAUAUGGACACCUUCUCUUGGAACAUCUCAUUCCAAAAUCAUGGGCAUUAAUAUGGAGUUGGUCCCCCUUUGCUGCUACAUCAUAUCAGCCUUCACUCUUCUGGGAAGACUUUCCACUAGAUGUUGGAACAUUGCUGCCGGGGACUUGCUUCCAUUCAGCCACAAGAGCAUUAGUGCUGUCG